AACGCGAAGAACCUUACCAGGUCUUGACAUCCGAUGCAUAGUGCAGAGAUGCAUGAAGUCCUUCGGGACAUCGAGACAGGUGGUGCAUGGUUGUCGUCAGCUCGUGUCGUGAGAUGUUGGGUUAAGUCCCGCAACGAGCGCAACCCUUAUUGCCAGUUACUACGCAAGAGGACUCUGGCGAGACUGCCGUUGACAAAACGGAGGAAGGUGGGGAUGACGUCAAAUCAUCAUGCCCUUUAUGACCUGGGCUACACACGUACUACAAUGGCGUUUAACAAAGAGAAGCAAGACCGCGAGGUGGAGCAAAACUCAAAAACAACGUCUCAGUUCAGAUUGCAGGCUGCAACUCGCCUGCAUGAAGUCGGAAUUGCUAGUAAUCGCGGAUCAGCAUGCCGCGGUGAAUACGUUCCCGGGUCUUGUACACACCG
rnacentral:rRNA from 1 species